GUUUGAUCAUGGCUCAGGAUGAACGCUAGCUACAGGCUUAACACAUGCAAGUCGAGGGGAAACGACAUCGAAAGCUUGCUUUUGAUGGGCGUCGACCGGCGCACGGGUGAGUAACGCGUAUCCAACCUGCCCACCACUUGGGGAUAACCUUGCGAAAGUAAGACUAAUACCCAAUGAUAUCUCUAGAAGACAUCUGAAAGAGAUUAAAGAUUUAUCGGUGAUGGAUGGGGAUGCGUCUGAUUAGCUUGUUGGCGGGGUAACGGCCCACCAAGGCGACGAUCAGUAGGGGUUCUGAGAGGAAGGUCCCCCACAUUGGAACUGAGACACGGUCCAAACUCCUACGGGAGGCAGCAGUGAGGAAUAUUGGUCAAUGGGCGAGAGCCUGAACCAGCCAAGUAGCGUGCAGGAUGACGGCCCUAUGGGUUGUAAACUGCUUUUAUAAGGGAAUAAAGUGAGAGUCGUGACUCUUUUUGUAUGUACCUUAUGAAUAAGGACCGGCUAAUUCCGUGCCAGCAGCCGCGGUAAUACGGAAGGUCCGGGCGUUAUCCGGAUUUAUUGGGUUUAAAGGGAGCGUAGGCCGGAGAUUAAGCGUGUUGUGAAAUGUAGACGCUCAACGUCUGCACUGCAGCGCGAACUGG
rnacentral:rRNA from 1 species